ACUACUUUUUUUAUGAUUUCUGUUUUUCCACAAUGACCAAGACUUUUCUACAAACAAGCCUAAUACUAAUAUGCAUUCCACCUGUGUGCAAUACAGAGCAAACUACUAAACCAAAUAUUAACAUGCAUUGUGGUGCAGUGGUGAACUAGAAAAUUAUUAACAUAAAUGGAGUUGCUUUCUUUUCUGGUUACCUUAUUAGUUGUUUUGGCACUUUCUUCUGUUUCUACGACAACUUUUGGUGUAGUUGAUAACAUUAGACUUUCAGAAGUUCUGAGAGAUAUUAACUCAUCAGAAGGUCUGAUUUAUUAUGUAGGACAAUCUGGCUCCUUGACUAUAGAUGACAGAGGAAAUCUUGUGGUUUUUUCAGAACCAUUGGUCCACAAACACGUCUAAACAAGCCGCGAAACCAUUGGUUCAGCUGUUGGAUAAUGGAAACUUGGUUUUGAGAGAUGAGGAAGAUGCAAACACAACAAACUACUUGUGGGAAAGCUUUCAUUAUCUUACUGAUUCAUUGUUGACAGGAAUGAAAUUGGGAUGGGACUUAUUCACUUAUGAGAUUGAGUUUGAUGAAUAACACCAUACAUAUCCUCUAACUAAUUCUCCUCUAGAAUAUUGUAUCGGCAAGGGAUGUGGGAUGACAUAAGUUCCAGCAACAAUUCUAUUAGUUACGAAGGAUUUGAUGCAUAUCUAGGCUUCAAAGUGCCUGAUACUAAAUAUAGUUGGGUGACUAAGAUUAAUUAUCCAAGCGAAUGCGACAGUAAAUGCUUAAGCCAUUGCUCUUGUAUGGCUUAUAGCUAUCAAUUCUCAGGGUCAAAUUACUCAAAUGAAAUUUGUGUCCUUCUGGCGGUGGUGAAAGACAAUAUACUUAUAUUCGAAUACCAAAUUCAAAAAUAGCUCCAAAUAUUCAUAAUGAAACAAGAGCUGAUGGUAGUCGUCGUAAGGUGAACGUGAAAGAGAGCAGUCAUAAUUAUAGCUAUCAUCGUUGGAUUAUUAGUUGGUGGAUUUAUUUUGAUUGGCUUUUACAGAGGACACACAUUUUUGAGAGAAACGAAAGCCAAGAUGAUGACUUGGAGCUUCCAUGGUUUGAUCUACAUACAAUUAGUAUUGCCACUAAUAAUUUUUCAGAGAAUAAUAAGCUUGGAGAGGGUGGUUUUGGACCUGUUUACAAAGGUACGCUUGAAGGAGGUCAAGAAAUUGCAGUGAAGAGGCUAUUAAUGUGUUCUGGACAAGGAGUCAAUGAGUUCAAAAAUGGAAUUAAUGGCAUAUGGAUGGUUCUUAUUGUUUGUGGAAAAAUCUUAGUAAUUAUAUGGAAAGACAGAGUGGUAGGUUUCAGAAAAGAAAAGAGACAAUUAUAUUUGUGGGAAAACCUUAGUAGGGAAUGUUAGACUAUAUAUAUAGUGUAUGUAAUAUAGCAUAUACAAAUGAUAUGAAAUGCGGAAAAUAAACUGUAAUCAUAUCAAUAAUAUAUGCAAUGAAAGGAUCGAUGUACCUCCAGUCAUUGAUCUUUGAGCUUCAAUCCCUGCGAUAGCUUCGGUAUUGGAGUUCGGGCUUCCUCGCUCUCUCAACUCUCUUUAGAUGGAAUUUGCUGAAUGAAUUCAGAAUGAGUGAGGAGCUCGGGGACCGAGACCCUAUAUUUAUAGGUGAGAUACUCCAUCAGUAUCUGCGCCACAUUAAUUGUCAGAAUAUUUUGACAAUUAAUUCAGGAAAUCAAAUCAGGUAAUGAAUAUAGAAAUCUGACCAUAUAUAGAAUAUUACAUAAUUGAUUUUAUCCAGAUUCAAUGAAUAUAAAAUAUUCAUUUAUCAGAAAAUCAAUUAUUUAUUUAUUUCCUUAAAUAGAAAAUCAUUUCCUUAAUUAGAAAAUAAUUUCCAUAUAUAAAAUAUUCUAAUAUUCUCCCACUUGGUCAGCAUUUAAACUAAAAUAUUCAAACCCAACGUUCCUCAUUAUAUAAUAAACAUACGAAUCAUAGCGACAUGUCCUCAUUAUGAAUCGAGUAUUAUCUUCCAUGUAUUACAAUACAUUUAUUAUAUAACAAUGUACUUUAUGUGGCAAUGUACUUAAGUGAAUAAACCCUAAACCUUAUGUUUAUUCAG